rnacentral:misc_RNA from 1 species
AACGCACAUUGCGCCCACUGGUACUCCGGUGGGCAUGCCUGUCCGAGCGUCGUCUACACCCUUGGCUCUGGCCAGUGUUGGGCUGUCCCGCGCGGACGCCCGCAAGACGUACGCCUGCAGCGGCUGGUCACGGUUGACAGGAGUCUCCCGCAGCAGUUGUAGCGCUUUGCUCAAACUUUUUUUGACCUCGGAUCAGGUAGGGAUACCCGCUGAACUUAA